GAUGAACGCUAGCGGCAGGCUUAACACAUGCAAGUCGAGGGGUAGAAGGAGCUUGCUCCUUUGAGACCGGCGCACGGGUGCGUAACGCGUAUGCAAUCUACCUUUUGCAGAGGAUAGCCCAGAGAAAUUUGGAUUAAUACCUCAUAGUAUGUGAGGAUGGCAUCAUUUUCACAUUAAAGUCACAACGGCAAAAGAUGAGCAUGCGUCCCAUUAGCUAGUUGGUAAGGUAACGGCUUACCAAGGCUACGAUGGGUAGGGGUCCUGAGAGGGAGAUCCCCCCACACUGGUACUGAGACACGGACCAGACUCCUACGGGAGGCAGCAGUGAGGAAUAUUGGACAAUGGGCGCAAGCCUGAUCCAGCCAUGCCGCGUGCAGGAUGACGGUCCUAUGGAUUGUAAACUGCUUUUGCACAGGAAGAAACAACGCUACGUGUAGCGUCUUGACGGUACUGUGAGAAU
rnacentral:rRNA from 1 species